rnacentral:rRNA from 1 species
AUGAACGCUGGCGGCGUGCCUAAUACCUGCCAGUCGAGCGAACAGACGAGGAGCUUGCUCCUCUGACGUUAGCGGCGGACGGGUGAGUAACACGUGGAUAACCUACCUAUAAGACUGGGAUAACUUCGGGAAACCGGAGCUAAUACCGGAUAAUAUAUUGAACCGCAUGGUUCAAUAGUGAAAGACGGUUUUGCUGUCACUUAUAGAUGGCUCCGCGCCGCAUUAGCUAGUUGGUAAGGUAACGGCUUACCAAGGCAACGAUGCGUAGCCGACCUGAGAGGGGGAUCGGCCACACGGGAACUGAGACACGGUCCAGACUCCUACGGGAGGCAGCAGUAGGGAAUCUUCCGCAAUGGGCGAAAGCCUGACGGAGCAACGCCGCGUGAGUGAUGAAGGUCUUCGGAUCGUAAAACUCUGUUAUUAGGGAAGAACAAAUGUGUAAGUAACUAUGCACGUCUUGACGGUACCUAAUCAGAAAGCCACGGCUAACUACGUG